rnacentral:misc_RNA from 1 species
GAUGAAGAACGUAGCGAAAUGCGAUACUUGGUGUGAAUUGCAGAAUCCCGUGAACCAUCGAGUCUUUGAACGCAAGUUGCGCCUCAAGCCAUUAGGUUGAGGGCACGUCUGCCUGGGCGUCACAUAUCGUUGCCUGAUGCCAGUUUCCUCGUGAUGGGUGACUGUGCAGGGCGAAUGAUGGCUUCCCGUGAGCAUUGUUGCCUCAUGGUUGGUUGAAAAUUGAGUCCUUGGUAGGGAGCGCCGUGAUAGAUGGUGGUUGAGUGACGAACGAGACCCAAUCAUGUGAGACCCCUACCGAAUUUGGCCUUCAUGACCCACAUGCGUCUUUGGAACGCUCAUGACGAGACCUCAGGUCAGGCGGGGCUACCCGCUGAGUUUAAGCAUAUCAAUAAGCGGA